rnacentral:lncRNA from 1 species
CUUAUUUAAGACAACACCACACAGCUCAGGAAUUUUAAUGAUUUUCUGAUGUGUUUUCCUUUAUGAAGUCUCUUUCUUGGGUACAGUUGUGCAGCCAAGCAGAAAACAGCCCGGGAAGGAGGACUAAUGUGACCAGCAGGCUGCAGUGCAGGGGAAACAACACACAUCCUCAAAAGAGCAAGGGAAAAAAACAUAAUUUCUUUUGGGUUGGAAUACUAGCUGUCCAACAGCAGAGAUUCGAUGACUGCAUUGCUCUUCUCUGAGCUUGGGGAUCACUGCAUAUCCCUUUCAGUCUCACAGAACAUGAGACAAAAACUUGUGAUUCUUACUUGAUCAUGAGGGACACUGAACUCAUGGGCAGACCUAUGAAUCCUGACUACCCAUGACUGACUACUAGAAGACCGUACAGACUGCAUGAGGUUUUGUAUGUAACAUUUACCCUCUGAAAUUCUGUUACUCACUGGCAGCUGUUGAACAGCAAAAAAAAU